AAAGAGAGGAGAAGAAGACAGUGUAGAGCAGGGUUAGUAGGGUGUCAACCAGUGGCGGCUUGUUAAUGGGGCGCUGGGCGUCACCCCCAUCAAGAUUUUGUGAUAAAGGUAUUCUCCCGCCUGUGUUAUGCUAAACACAGCUGGAUAGCUGGAUGUGAAGUUAGCAAUGCUCUGUAUUGCUUUCCCUGCUUGCUUUUUCAAAGUGUUGGCACUGAAGUUCUGUGGACAACAACGGGGGUCAGAGACCUGAAACAUCUCUCUGAAAAAUGCAAACGGCAUGAAGGUAGCCGUAGCCACCUUGACAACAGCAUGAAGCUACAGUUUUUUGGCCGUGUUAGCAUUGCUGAACAACUAGAUGAGGGCUACAGAGUUGGCAUUAGAAGGCACAAUGAAGAGGUGACAAAAAAUCGUCACAUACUGUCCAGGAUAAUAGACUGUGUGAAAUUUUGUGGGGCCUCUGAGUUGGCUUUACGUGGCCAUGAUGAGAGUGAGAGCUCUGUUAACCCUGGGAUAUUUCGUGGGUUGGUGGAUUUUGUUGCCUCUCUGGAUGGAGCUUUGAAAGAGCACCUUGAAACUGCCACUGUUUUUAAGGGUACUUCAAAAACGAGCUCCUGGACUGUAUGUUGUCUGUUGCAAGGGAGUAAAUAAUUAAAGAAGCCCAAAAGAGUGUUUUUGUGUCAAUCCAGGCAGAUGAGACAACAGAUAUUUCAACACAGUCACAACUUGUGCGUGUACUACGCUACAUUGAUGACAAACAGUGUGCAGGAAAGAUUUUUUGAAUUCAUUCCUCUGCAGUCAGCUACGUCUGAGUCCAUUGCUGCUGCAUUAACAGAGCGUCUUGCUGCCAUCAGUCCUGAGGAUCAGAAAAGGAAGCUAAUCUGCCAGGCGUAUGAUGGAGUCACUGCAGGUGUUCAGAGGAAAAUCAAAGAUGUGUACCCAAAUGCCCACUAUAUCCAACUCAACCUGAUCAUGCAGCAGGCCACCGCUCACAUUUCCAAGGUGAGAAUUUUUUUUCUGACCUGAGUGGAUUUGCCAGCUUUUUUUCCAGAUCAGCCAAGCGUACAGCUGUUCUUGAUCAAAUGGUGGCCCACAGACUGCCAACAUCCAGCAAUGUCAGAUGGAACUUUCACAGCCGAGCCAUCAACACUGUGUUUGAGCACAGAGAGGAUCUCAUUCAGGGUUUGGAGAACAUAUGAGACUCUGGUGACUUUGAUGCCAGUACCAUCAGAGAGGCAGGAGCCGUGGCCAUGCUGCUGGAACAUCAGGACUUUUAAGUUCUUUCUGGAACUUUUUCGCCACAUCAUGCCACAUGUGGACCUCCUCUAUGCCAAGCUCCAGAAGAAGAACAUAGAUGCAGUCCACAUAAAAGUGAGCAUCCAGCAGUUUGAACAGGACAUGGAAAACAUCAGGUAAUAAGUAUUCCUGUCAGUAAUAUGAUCAUCACAUUUUUCAACAUGAUCUCUUUUCCCCUUUUUGGUUAUUAUUAUGACUUCUCAGAAGUGGCAGUCCGACAGCAAAGAGGCGUCGGGCACUCAGUUCAGAGGAGAGAGAGAAGAAGAGAUCUGCAACACCAUUCUGAGACACACCAAGGAGCGCUUCUCCUUCACCGUCCAUCUCGUCUGUGCAACCUUGUUGCAGGGGGACAGGUUUGAAGAACAUCACGGGUCAUUUCCUGAAGAGGCACUGAAACGCACUUUGAAGGCCUACCCGAUGCUGAAUGGAAGCAAGCUGAAGACAGAACUCGGUCUGAUCUACAGCAAAGUAGAGUUCAGAGCCUGCUGUGGUGCACUGGACCUAUUCCAGCUGUUCAUGGAGAACAAUCUUGAAGUUGUCUUUUCAGAAACUGUCAAUCUUUUAAGGAUCCUGAUCACCACACCCAUGACCACAGCUGAAGCAGAGAUUACAGUUUUCACUCUUUUCAACCUUGAAAAGAGUGAAAACUUUUCUCAGAAACACCAUGACCCAGGAAAGGCUGAAUGCCUUGGCCAUGCUCUCCAUGGAAAAGAGACUUGUUUGUGAAAUGACAGAUUUCAAUCAGAAAGUCAUUGAUAAAUUUGUUGGCCUGAAGGAGAGAAAAGCAAAAUGUACGUUCAAGUAAUUGUUUUGUUGCGUUGUAAUGCCCGUCUGCUGCUGCGCCCCCCCAAAAUAUUUUAUCACCAGCCGCCACUGGUGUCAACAUGCGGCCCGUGGGCCUAAAGCGGCCCUCCAGAGGGUCCGAUCCGGCCCUCAAAGUGACGUUAACAGAGAUGUCUUUGAUAUUAACCGCAGCAGUGGGUUAGUUUGGUAAAACUAAACAAGUACAACUAAACAACGGCUAAAUCUGA